AUUAAGGGUAGGGAAAUAUCCGAUGGCAUUUGUCAGAUAACUUCCUCUUCCUUUGGAAUGAAAACUUCAACGUUCACUAUCAGAGUGUAUUGUAUUUUUUGUCACAAGAAAUUCCUUUACAAAGACAUAGGAUCAAUCUAUACAACCAUCAAUGGUAAACUGGAUAAAGAAAAUAUGGUGCAUAUAUACCCUGAAAUACGAAACAGCCAUAAAAAAAUGAGAUCAUGUCCUUGGCAGCAACAUGGAUGAAGCUGGAGGCUAUUAUCCUAAGCGAACUAACAUAGGAACAGAAAACCAAAUACCACAUGUUCUCAUUUAUAAAUGGGAGCUAAACACUGAGUACAGAAGAACACAAAGAAGGGAACAACAGACACUGGGGCCUACUUGAGGGCAGAGGAUGGGAGGGUGAAGAUUGAAAAACUACCUGUGCGGUACUGAGAGGUGACAGCUUGCUGGCGGCCCUCACAGCCCUCGCUCGCUCUCGGUGCCUCUUCGGCCUCCGCGCCCACUCUGGCGGCACUUGGGGAGCCCUUCAGCCGGCGGCUGCACUGGGGGAGCCCCUUCCUGGGCUGGCCAAGGCCGGAGCCGGCUCCCUCAGCUUGCCCGGAUGUGAGGAGGGAGAGGCGUAGGCGGGAACCGGGGCUGUGCGUGCCGCUUGUGAGCCAGCGUGAGCUCUGGAUGGGCGUGGGCUCGGCGGGCCCCCACACUCGGAGCAGCCAGCCGGCCCCGCCAGCCGGGCAGUAAGGGGCUUAGCCCCUGGGCCAGCAGCUGCUGUGCUCGACUUCUCACCGGGCCUUAGCUGCCUCCUUUUCUCGCAGGGCCUUAGCUCCUCCUUGCGGGGCAGGGCUUGGGACCUGCAGCCCGCCAUGCCUGAGCCUCACCGCCACCUGCCGUGGGCUGCUGUGCCCCUGGAGCCUCCCGGACGAGCCCCGCCCCCUGCUCCAUGGCACCCAGUCCCAUGGACCACCCAAAGGCUGAGGAGUGCGGGCUCAGGGCUUGGGACUGGCAGGCAGCUCCACCUGUGGCCACCGUGUGGGAUCCACUGGGUGAAGCCAGCUGGGCGUCUGAGUCUGGCGGGGACUUGGAGAACCUUUAUGUCUACCUAAGCCCUAGCCUGACACAGAUAGUAACUGCAAACAGUACUGAUCAAGAGGAACUCCUAUUUUUGAAAGACUUGCCAGCAUCAAAGACCAGUUCUUCAAAUCAACCCAGUCAAAGAAAAUAAAAAAAAUGAAUUCAGAAAGUGAAAACAAAAUCUGGAAUAAAUAUGAGAAUAAGAUACCAAAUCCACAAUUUAUUGCCAUUCCUGAGAGAUAAGAAGAGAGAAUAAACAACUUGAAAAAAUAUAUUUGAGGAUGUAGUCCACAAAAUAUUUCCUAAUUUAGGUAGAUAAGUUGACACGCAAAUCCAAGAAAUACAGAGAACUGCAGUGAGAUACUAUACAAGAUGACCAUCCCCAAGGCACAUAGCCAUCAGAUUUUAAAAAGUCAAUGGAAGAGAAAGAAUCGAAAGACAGCUAGAGAGAAGUGUCACCUACAGAGGGAACCUAAUCAGGCUGGCAGUAGACCUCUCAGCAGAACCCCUACAAGGAAGAAGAGAAUGGGGACCUAUUUUCAUUGUCCUAUAAAAAUAAAAUACAACCAAGAAUUUUAUAUCCUUCCAAACUAAGUUUCAUAAGUGAAGGAGAAACACCGUUCUUCUCAGACAGAAAAAUGCUGAGGGAAUACAAUCCAAACAGACAAGCCUUACAAGAGAUCCUAAAAGAAGUUCUAAACAUAGAAUUGAAAGAACAACAUCUGCUACAAAACACAACAACAAAACAAAAUCACACAUAAGUACAUAGGCCACAGGCACUAGAAAGCAAUUACACAAUCAAGCCAAUAUAAAACAAGCUAACAACAAAAUGACAUCAUCAAAAUGUCACAUAUCAAUACUAACCCUGAAUUUAAAUGGGUUAAAUGCCCCACUUAAAAGACAUAGAGUGGCAAGGUGGAUAAAAAUAUAAGAUGCAACUAUCUUUAAUCUUCAAGAAAAUUUAUAUAUUAACACCCUCAUGCCCAAAAUAAAGGUAUGCAGUAAGAUCUGCCAUGUAAAUGGAAAACAAAAAGAGCAAGAGUCACUAUUCUUAAAUAAUAUGAAACAUAUUUUAGAAGAAUAAAAAUUAAAGAUGGACAAAAAAAGAAACGUUACAUAAUGUAAAGGGUAAAAUCCAACAAGAACACUUUUAUUUAACUAGCCUAAAUACCUAAAUUUCUAUGCACCCAACACUGGAACAUCAAGAUUCAUAAAACAAGUAUUCUUGGACUAUAAAAAGACUUAGAUAAUCACAAAUAUCUGUGACUGGGAGACUUCAACAACCCACUGGCAGUGCCAGGUACAUCAUUGAGGCAGAAAACUGACAAAGAAAUUCUGGACUUAGAUUUGACAUCUGAGCAAAUAGACCUAGUAGACAUCUACAGAACACUCCUCUCAACAUCCACAGAAUGGACAUUCUUCUCAUCUCCACAUAGAAUGUAUUCUAAGAUUGACCACUUUCUUGUUCAUAAACAGUCUCAACAAAUUCAAAACAAUUUGAAUCAUAGCAAGCACACUCUCAAACCAUCGUGCAUUAAAAAUAUAAAUGAAUUUCAAGAAGAUCUCUCAAAAGUACAAAAAUUCACGAAAAUUAAAACAUUUCCCCCUAAAUAACUCAUGGAUGAACCUUGAAAUUAGAGCGGAAAUCAAAAAAUUAUUUGCAUUAAUAGAGACAUAACCUACCAGAACCUCUGAGAUGCAGCUAAAGCAGUGUUAAGAGGAAAGUUUAUAGCCCUAAAAUGCCUUGAUUGAGUGUUAGAAAUAUCUCAAAUUAGUAAUUUAAUUUUGUACCUAUAGGAACUAGGAAAAAAAAGAAGGAAACAACCUAAGAGCUAUCAGAAGAAAACAAAUAACUAAAAUUAGGGAAGAACUGAAUGAAACUGAGAUGCAAAAAUCCAUACAAAAGAUCAAUAAAACCAAGAGUUGUUUUUUCAAAAAAUAAACAAGAUUAAAAGACCCCUACAUAGACUCACAAAAAAAGAGAAGAUCCAAAUAAGUACAAUCAUACCUGAUAAACAUGACAUAACUGAUGCCACAGAAAUACAAAAGAUCCUCAGAAUACUAUGAAUAACUCUAAGCAUACCUAUUAGAAAACCUAGAGAAAAUGGGUAAUUUCCAGAAAGAAUUGCCGAAGAUUUAAUCAGAAAGGGAUUCAAACACUGAGUAGACCAAUAUUGAGCUCUGAAAUUGAAUCAGUAAUAAAAAUUCUACCAACCAAAAAAAGUCCUGAACCAGAUGAAUUCACAGCUGAAUUCUGCCAGGUGUACAAAGAACUGCUACCAAUCCUACUGAAAAUAUUCCAAAAAACUGUGGAGGAGUGGCUUUUCUGUUAUUCUUUCUACGAAGCCAGCAUUAGUCUAACACCAAAAUCUGGCAGACACAAUUAAAAAAAAAGAAAACUUCAGGCCAAUAUUCCUGAAGAACACAGGCACAAUAAUUCUUAGCAAAACACUAGCACACUGAAUGUAGUAUAUUAAAGACUAAAUAUACUACAAUCAAGCAGGAUUUAUUCCUAGGAUGCAAGGCUGGUAAAACAUAUACAAAUCAAUAAAUAUUCACCAUCUAAACAGAAUUAAAAACAAAAACUCUAUGAUCAUCUCAAUAGAUGCAAAGAAAGCUUUCAAUGAUAUCCAAGAUCCAUUCAUAAUAAUAAAAAAAACCUUGAGUGACUAGAAACGUAAGAUCAUAUCUCAAAAUAAUAAUAUCCAUUUAUGACAAACCCACAAGCAACAUCAUACUGAAUGGAUAAACACUGGAAUUAUUUUCUUUGAGAACUGGAACAAGACAAGGAUGCCUCUUUCACCACUCUUAUUCAACAUACUUCUGGAAGUGCUAACCAGAGCAAUCAGAUAAGAGAAAGAAAUAGAAGGCACCCAAAAAGGAAAGGAAGAAGUCAAACUAUCUUCACCAGUUAUAUGAUUCUAUACCUAGAAAAUCCUGAAGACCUUGCCAAAAGGCUACUAGAACUGAUAAAUAAUUUAGUGAGGUUUCAGGAUACAAAAAUCAAUGUAUAAAAGCCAGUAGCAUUUCCAUACACCAACAACAUCCAAGCUGAGGAUCAAAUCAAGAACACAAUCCUACUUACAAUAACCACAAAGACAAUGAAAUACCUAGAAAUACUGAUAAACAAGGAAGUGAAAGAUCUGUACAAGGUGAACUACAAAACACUGCUGAAAGAAAUCAGAGAUGGCACCAAUAAAUGGGAAAACAUCCCAUGCUCAUGGAUUUGAAGAAUCAGUAUCUUUAAAAUUGCUGUAUUAGUGUGUUUGUAUUCUUCUGAUAAAGAUAUACCCAAGACUGGGUAAUUUAUAAAGAAAAACAUGUUUGUUUAAUGGACUCACAGUUCCAUGUGGCUGAGGUGGCCUCAUGGCACAAGGCAAAAGACACUUCUUACAUGGUGACAGGAUGAAACUAGAGAAGAUAAAGUAAGGAACAGAUUCUCUCCCAUAGAUUCUGGAGGGAGCAUGUUGAUUUUGAACACCUGUCUAAUUGAACUAUGGAAAAUAAAUUUCUGUGUUUUGAAACCACCCAAGUUGUGAUAAUUUGCUGUAAAAACUGCUGAGAACUAAUCCAUACCUUGUCAUGUUCUGUAGAUGUUGUAUUUGAGCAUAGAGAAGUUGGCAACUUUCCAUAGCAUAAAAUGUAGUAAGGGUGGAAGAAGCAGGCAUUGCAGAAUGAUAUUGUUAUGAAGUGAAAGGAAUUAUGUUAAUGUAGCGAUUUCUGUGUUUGCAAAUGCAGGCAAAUUUUUAACUAUUCAAUAAAGCAUGAAUUUCCUAAUACACUGGUUUAAUAUAUUUGGUUGGUUUAGUCUGUGCAUAAGAGUAGAUAGGUCCUGAUAUAAUGCCCUCAAAGCACAUGUUGGAAAAUAAAAUUGGUCAUCAUAGCAGGCUAAAUGGUGCUCUCCUCCAAGAAAAAAAAAGUCUAUAUUAGAGUCUCAGACAAUAUCACAUACUGUGACAGAAGGGUGACUACUACCUUAUAUAACAAAAGAUGUGAUUGAAUUAUGUCUUUUGACAGUAAGGGCUUUUUCGGGAUUCUUGGGGUGGGGUGUAAAUGCAAUCACAGAUAUCCUUAUGAGAGAGAGGCAAAGGAAGUUUAGAGAAGACACACAGAAGAGAAGGCAAUGUGCAGACGGAGGCAGAGAUUGGAGUGAUAUACCUACGAGUUAUAUUCUGGCAGCUACCAAAAAUGGGAAGAGGUAAGGAAUGGAGUCUCUUCCAGGUCACCUAAAGGAACGCAAUCCUGCCAGAUUUUGGACUGUGAACAUCUAGACUCUGUGAGAGGAUAUAUUUAUAUUGAUUUAAUCCACCUAGUAUGGGAUAAAUUAUUAUAGCAACCAUAGGAAACUGAUACAUUCAUAAACAAGAAAAGACAGCAGUUUAACCAGAAAAGCUGGAUAUUAUUUGGUGUAUAAAAGAACAAAGAGGGGCUAGUGCAAAUAAAUUUCUAAUGCAGGCUAUUACAAAAAUUAUGAAUACUCAUCACUUUGAUGAGUAAUUUCACCACAAAAGCACAUGAUAUUUUGGAGUGUAUUCACACUAUGCCAAAUUGUAUAUUUUACAUCCUAUAGUAGAAACAUUUACUCAGCCAAGAAAUAUAAAAUAAAACUCUGUAAUAUUUAUAAAAACUGUUCUAACUCAGAGCAAGCAUAUUAAACUAAAUUACCCAUGUGAAAAUGCAAAACUACAGUUAAACAGUCCCUAAGGUUAAAGCCUGUGUCCUGAAGAAAGAGAAGACCUUUUUAGUCUAAUAAGUAAGGCAAUCUAAGAACAUCCUGUUUGCUUUAUUUUUUUAUUAUAUACAUUUUCAUUUUCCUAAACAAACUUUAUAGUUUUUAUUUUAACAAACAUGGAAUAGCAAGUAAAGAAAAUUUAACUUAUUCAUGGCUUCUGCCAUUGAAUAAUUAGAUUUUUAAUAUCAAUAUUAC
rnacentral:lncRNA from 1 species